CGGUUAGAGAGAAAAUAGUUAGAGAAGUAGAGUUGCCCCUAGCUAGCGCCUCUGCUCCCUCCCAUCCUGGCAGGCUAGAGCAUAUCCAUAUGACUAGCCACCAAUGCAAGCAGACUGCACUAUGACCCAGAGAGGCAUGUCUGACCUCGGACAGCGGUCAGAGAGCGUCUUCCGAUUAGCUGGUUUCUCUGCCAGUCGGGUACAUCAGGAUUCUUAUAAGGCCACCGAGCAGGUCCCUGAAGCCACAAGAAUAAGUGAGAUCGUCUCCCCCACUCCCAGGAAAGGCUUCAGAAUAAGCAGGAAAAGACGGAAAGAUCUAACGAUACAAAAAGAUGGAGGAAUUUGGAUCCACCAUCACCCACAUUCUAAUUCUGGAUUCACCAUUUACUAGCUCUAUGAACUUCAGUAAGUUACAACAUCCCCAGGCCUCAGUUUUACCAUCUUGGAGGGGGUCAUAAAAUACGACCUAUCUUUCCGAUUUAAGUUGAGAAUUUAGUGAGGCAUCAUCAAGAUGUCUGUAAGCUUUAACUUACAGAUUGACACAGCUGUCCGUCGUGGAGAAGAAUCAGUUAUUAAACAUUUACUGCUUUUCUGAACGCAGUUUGUCAGAUCCUUCGUGAAAUCGUUUGACCCAGCUCUGAUUUAGAAGAGGUUCUGGAGAUUCCAGUUUAAAACCCUCAGAGGGCAAACAGCGGCAGCUCUGUGGAACUAUUCCGUAAGUCUUUCUGACAGCAUGCCUAGCUUGUUUUCCCCUAGGCUCCGUUCACAGUGGAACAUUCUGUGUUGGAGGGAGCUGCGUGCAUUACCUCAUUGCUAUCACCCUGCACAGAAAUGCUGAAGAACCACGGAGGCGGCUUUCCAGAACCACGGUUAUGACCCUCAAGUCAGAAGGUGACUGUUCUGCAAUCAACCCGAAGAGAAAUAAAGAAGCAGAAGCAUUUUAAUUUAUUCCCAAACUCUGGUUCAAAGUCUUACAUAUGAUGAAGCUUCCUAGAAAAUAUAAAUUCUACACAAAGUGAGACUGUUUUCAAUGAACAAAAAUGCUGGGAGGUUGUUGCAAUGUUUUUAAAAAAUCCACUUGAUUCCUGGCUUCUGGAGACAAGCAUUGGGUCCUGCCUUCUGUUCUAUCCCCCACAGCACGUAGCAACCAGUUUCCAAAUUGUAUGUGCUGCGUUGUGGAAGUGAAUUACAAAUUCUUAUUCGUUUAAUUUAGCUAUUGGAGUGGAACCAAGAAAGAACAGAGGGGCCUGAGCCAAAUCACAGUUGGGAAGAAGUGUUAGUUAACCUGCAGCCACUCCUGCAUUCUUCGGAAGGCUCACCCCCUACACUGGCAUGCACAGCUCAGUGUGAUGACUUGGAUGCAAGAAGUACGGAUUGCCUGUCUUUAUACUUUUCAGGAGAAGGGCAUGUGUGUCUUUUAAAAUCACAUCUCCCUUGAGAACAGUCCCAUGAAAAGACCUAACAGCACUUUUUCCUCUGGAAGCCCCUUGUACAAUGCAUCACGUAUCAGAGAAGACUUCUGUCAACUAUGGAGGUCUAGGCAAACGUAAAGCUUAACAAAGUUACUCUAAUUACC
rnacentral:lncRNA from 1 species